rnacentral:rRNA from 1 species
AUUGAACGCUGGCGGCAGGCCUAACACAUGCAAGUCGAGCGGGGUUUUCGGACCUAGCGGCGGACGGGUGAGUAAUGCGUAGGAAGCUGCCCGAUAGAGGGGGAUACCAGUUGGAAACGGCUGUUAAUACCGCAUAAUGUCUACGGACCAAAGUGUGGGACCUUCGGGCCACAUGCUAUCGGAUGCGCCUACGUGGGAUUAGCUAGUUGGUGAGGGAAUGGCUCACCAAGGCGACGAUCUCUAGCUGGUUUGAGAGGAUGAUCAGCCACACUGGAACUGAGACACGGUCCAGACUCCUACGGGAGGCAGCAGUGGGGAAUAUUGGACAAUGGGCGCAAGCCUGAUCCAGCCAUGCCGCGUGUGUGAAGAAGGCCUUCGGGUUGUAAAGCACUUUCAGCGAGGAGGAAGGGGUGUGUGUUAAUAGUACACACCUUUGACGUUACUCGCAGAAGAAGCACCGGCUAACUCUGUGCCAGCCGCCGCUGUAACAC